rnacentral:tRNA from 1 species
GGAGAAAUGGCCGAGUGGAUUAUGGCGUCGGUCUUGAAAACCGAUAUAGUUCUUGAAACUAUCGAGGGUUCGAAUCCCUCCUUCUCCU